UACAGAGGGGGCAAGCGUUGUUCGGAAUUACUGGGCGUAAAGGGCGCGUAGGCGGCCUGUUAAGUCGAACGUGAAAUCCCCGGGCUCAACCCGGGAACUGCGUCCGAUACUGGCAGGCUUGAAUCCGGGAGAGGGAUGUGGAAUUCCAGGUGUAGCGGUGAAAUGCGUAGAUAUCUGGAGGAACACCGGUGGCGAAGGUGGCAUCCUGGACCGGUAUUGACGCUGAGUGAGCGAAAGCCAGGGGAGCAAACGGG
rnacentral:rRNA from 1 species